rnacentral:tRNA from 1 species
CUUCCUUCACACGGAAGGGGUCGCAGGUUCGAACCCUGCAGCGCGCACCA